CUACGGGUGGCUCCAGCAGCGAAUCAUUUACAAUGCACGAAAGUGUGAUAAUGCGAGCCAAAGUGUUAACCUUUUUGGUUAACUUUUGUUUGUUGUAAAAAGACAGACGAAUAAGGACUGGGCAAGACCGGUGCCAGCCGCCGCGGUAAUACCGGCAGUCCAAGUCGCAAUCAUUUUUAUUGGGUCUAAAACAUCCGUAGCUUGUUUAUUAAGUCUCUUGUGAAAUCUUACGUCUCAAGCGUGAGGCUUGCGGGAGAUACUGAUAAGCUAGAGAUCGGUAGAUGUAACGAGUACGCUCGAGGUAAUGGUUAAAUAUGUUAAUCUCAAGCGGACUAACAAUUGGCGAAGGCACGUUACAAGGACGAAUCUGACAGUGAGGGAUGAAGGCCAGGGGCGCAAAACGGAUUAGAUCCCGGGUAGUC
rnacentral:rRNA from 1 species